GACCAGACUCCUACGGGAGGCAGCAGUGGGGAAUAUUGCACAAUGGGGGGAACCCUGAUGCAGCGACGCCGCGUGAGUGAAGAAGUAUCUCGGUACGUAAAGCUCUAUCAGCAGGGAAGAAGAUGACGGUACCUGACUAAGAAGCCCCGGCUAACUACGUGCCAGCAGCCGCGGUAAUACGUAGGGGGCAAGCGUUAUCCGGAUUUACUGGGUGUAAAGGGAGCGUAGACGGCGAUGCAAGCCAGAUGUGAAAGCCCGGGGCUCAACCCCGGGACUGCAUUUGGAACUGUGUGGCUGGAGUGUCGGAGAGGCAGGCGGAAUUCCUAGUGUAGCGGUGAAAUGCGUAGAUAUUAGGAGGAACACCAGUGGCGAAGGCGGCCUGCUGGACGAUGACUGACGUUGAGGCUCGAAAGCGUGGGGAGCAAACAGGAUUAGAUACCCUGGUAGAA
rnacentral:rRNA from 1 species